rnacentral:tRNA from 1 species
GCCCCGUUCGACUUCGGGUGAGGUCAGCUGGCUUUCAACCAGCACAGACGGGUUCGACUCCCGUACGGGGUACCA